GACGAACGCUGGCGGCGCGCCUAACGCAUGCAAGUCGAACGAGCGAGAGAGAGCUUGCUUUCUUGAGCGAGUGGCGAACGGGUGAGUAACGCGUGAGGAACCUGCCUCAAAGAGGGGGACAACAGUUGGAAACGACUGCUAAUACCGCAUAAGCCCACGGUGCCGCAUGGCACAGAGGGAAAAGGAGCAAUCCGCUUUGAGAUGGCCUCGCGUCCGAUUAGCUAGUUGGUGAGGUAACGGCCCACCAAGGCGACGAUCGGUAGCCGGACUGAGAGGUUGAACGGCCACAUUGGGACUGAGACACGGCCCAGACUCCUACGGGAGGCAGCAGUGGGGAAUAUUGCACAAUGGGGGAAACCCUGAUGCAGCGACGCCGCGUGGAGGAAGAAGGUCUUCGGAUUGUAAACUCCUGUUGUUGGGGAAGAUAAUGACGGUACCCAACAAGGAAGUGACGGCUAACUACGUG
rnacentral:rRNA from 1 species